rnacentral:rRNA from 1 species
AUUAUUUUUGUCAAGAAGCUUGCAUCAUCAUUUUGACCUGACCAGCAAAAGCAAUUUGAGAAUGAGGUUUAUCAUCUUCUGAUGCUCAAAGACCUCAAUAUAGUGCGUCUUUUAGGGUAUUGCCAUGAAACACGAAAUGUGUGUUUGUACAGUGUGAAAUCCAUUUUUGCAUAGGUCACCAAAAGGUUACUUUGCCUGGAGUACCUUCCCAAGGGAAGGCUUGAUAAGUAUUUGUCAGAUGAAUCUUGUGGAAUUGAUUGGAGCACACGCUGCAAUAUAAUCUAGGGGAUUUGCUAUGGCUUAUGUCACCUCCAUGAGAAUCUUGUUAAGCCUAUCAUUCACCUGGCCUUAAAACCUGCCAACAUAUUGCUCGAUGAAGCUAUGGUGCCAAAAAUCGUAGACUUUGGUCUCUCAAGACUAAUUGAUCAACAAACUAUCUGCACUUCCUCUCUUGAUGGAACAUUGUACUUAAUAAAUGGAGAAAUGUGUUACAGAGAGCAUUGAAUUACAGGACCUUAUAAAUAGAUUGUGAACAAAUAAAGAGAUGCCUCUAUUUAGGUAUAAUCCGUGUAAAUCUUGGCCGUACCACAAGGCCUCCGAUAACAAGGGUUAUCAGUAUGAUCCAAGGAUCUGAAAGUAUUGACUGCGGCUUUUUCAGCGAGCCAGCGUAA